CUGAUCAUUGAUUUGUUGACAGCGGUGUGAACAGGGAGCAGGGUGGGCAUGCAAUGCAUUGCAAUAUAUUUACUAUAUUCUACUGGAAGUGGUCUUGACUUUGUACAGAAGAAUCAGAUUCUAACUACUUGGGCCUGAAGUGUGAGGAAAUCUGAGGAACAGCCUUGUGCUCAAAACAUCACUGGCUCGUAAAUCCUUUAAAGGAAGCUUUGUGUUGUUUUAUUGUUCCAGCACAAACUUAUGAAAAUAUAGUUUUUUUCUGGAUGUGUGUGUGUUAUAAUCAUGUUUUGAGCUGGAGGCGAGCAACCACGUGACAUGAAUAACCCAAACUCUUGCAUUUUAACCCCACCCACCUACGAGCACACCCUUUAAAUUGAGGGGGAGGAACUCAACAGCUGAUUCUCCUGUGAGCAGUUGUUCUGAUGUCUGCCACAGUGAUGGCAGAAAGAGGUGGAAGUCUUCCCCCGCCUCCGGCUGAUGGAGACCCCCUCGGUUAGCAAGCUAGCAAGUAGCGGGGACAAAAAUGGCAGAAGAGGAGAGGAUGUGUGACGAGCGGCGCCCGCGACGUCACCGCUUCAGCACCGCGGACAGCAUGACGUCAUGACAGCCCAGGAGACCUUACAGAUGAAGCUCCACCAGUAUCACCUCCUCACCCUGGGAACCAAGAGCAACAGAUGACCUGCAGAUCUGAGAUUAGGAGCAGGUAUCUACAGGAUUAGAAGGUGGCUGGCCACUGUGGCUGACGGGGCCGAGUCCUUGAGGAGAUCAUGUGUCUGUGGAAAGUACAGGACAGGCGCUGAUGUUUGAGCUUUCAAACCAGUGUCCCUGUUGUUGCCCCCUUCGCUCCAUCUCCGCCGCGGCUCAUUCCCAAUGUCUCUAUGACAGAGGGCGGCCUGUAUGGCUUGGCACAUACAACCAUACAUGACUUUGCAUUGCUGGAGUGCCUUGCAUUAUAUACAGGGAAAGGGAUAAUAAAU